rnacentral:lncRNA from 1 species
CAUCUCCUCCGGCUCGCGUCAAUUCCACAUAAAAUUGUCGUAAAAUUGUCGCAAAACCGAGCGAAAAUCUCCGGAUCUUCGUGAUGCGGGUGUCCCAUUAUCGUUUGCUCCUUUAAUUUGUGAACGGUUGUGUUUGGAAGGUGAAUUCAGUGUGCCUAAAAUGGCGAGGGGUUUAGUCAUUGUUUCAUCCUCUUUCGGUUUUUCCAGCUGGAGGAUGGAAUUGUUGGAUAGCGUAAAAACAAGACGGUGAAAAAUUUAGGUGAAGACUUGGCGUGAAUAAAACGGAGAUGGAUCAUACGGAAAGGGCAUACCGAGAGGCUGUCGCAAAAUUAAAAUUUCUGCUUUCUGAAAGCUACUCACAACCACCAGAAGUCAUUUAUUCUCAUACGCACCAUCAUCAUCAUGCAUCACCACUGUCAAGAUCCCCAAGAAGCAGAUUUGAUACAAGUACCCUAUCUAUUGCUCCAGGCCCGAUUGUCAAGCACCCAUCAGACUCAAGUUUAGCCACUGUUCAAGCUCCUCCUCAUGAAUUUGUAUCCUAUAUUCAGCGGCAAGAAGAUUAUAUUCAGCAGCUUGAGAAGGAAAAAUCCUUUUUCCAAGAAGAAAUGUCAACUUUAAUGAAUAAGUGAAAGAGGUCCUUGUGGAGAAUGAAAAUUUAAGGAGAGACAAAAAAUUGCAGGUGAAUGUAUCUAGCUCGGAGGAUAGUGGAAGUGAAGAAACAGUGGAAGAAAAACCUCGCAAAAAAAGAAGUCAAAGUCAGGUGAUCACCUCUCGAUUCUACUGAAUUUCAGUUCAGACAGGUUUUUGCACUGAAUCUGGUAGCAAUUUAUUUUCCAAGGGGGUACUCUAAUUCAAAAUCAACCCCUUUUUCUUGUUUACCUAGAAACUGGAAAUGUUGUUUUGUAGGUUGGAGCUUAGCCUCAGGAGCUUGAGAGCAUAUUGGCGGUGAAACUCCCAUACCACGUAUCUUGUUUCCGGUGUUUAAAAUCUCUUUUUAUUUUGUUUUCAUUUUAUUUUAGGAGAACGAACCAACAAUUUUCCUUAAAGUUUUUUCCAGAAUUUUUCUGGCAUGGAGAAAAAAAAUCGUGGAAGUUAUCAAGCAUUGACGUUGAUUCGUUUUCCAUUUAAAAAAAUGAAAUAUGACUGGAGGUCUGUAUUGUCACAAACCGAGAUACAUGGUUCAGGAGUUUCUUUGUCGACAUGGUAUGAGCCAAGAUGUCCCAAAUGACAGUAGCCCUGCCCUACUGACC